rnacentral:rRNA from 1 species
CCUACGGGGGGCUGCAAUUAGGAAUCUUGUGCAAUGGGCGAAAGCCUGACACAGCGACGCCGCGUGGAGGACGACGGUCUUCGGAUUGUAAACUCCUUUUAGACAGGAAGAAGACAGUGACGGUACUGUUAGAAUAAGCCCCGGCUAACUCCGUGCCAGCAGCCGCGGUAAUACGGGGGGGGCGAGCGUUGUCCGAAGUUACUGGGCGUAAAGAGCGCGUAGGCGGGGUGUCACGUCCGCUGUGAAAGCCUGGAGCUUAACUCCAGCGGGUCGGU